ACAGGUGCUGCAUGGCUGUCGUCAGCUCGUGUCGUGAGAUGUUGGGUUAAGUCCGUAACGAGCGCAACCCUUGUCCUUAGUUACCAGCACGUUAUGGUGGGCACUCUAAGGAGACUGCCGGUGACAAACCGGAGGAAGGUGGGGAUGACGUCAAGUCAUCACGGCCCUUACGGCCUGGGCUACACACGUGCUACAAUGGUCGGUACAAAGGGUUGCCAAGCCGCGAGGUGGAGCUAAUCCCAUAAAACCGAUCGUAGUCCGGAUCGCAGUCUGCAACUCGACUGCGUGAAGUCGGAAUCGCUAGUAAUCGUGAAUCAGAAUGUCACGGUGAAUACGUUCCCGGGCCUU
rnacentral:rRNA from 1 species